AGCAGCCGCGGUAAUUCCAGCUCCAAUAGCGUAUAUUAAAGUUGCUGCAGUUAAAAAGCUCGUAGUUGAAUUUCGGGACCAAUAUGUCGGCCGUGCCUCGGUACGUACUGGCAUCGUUGGUUUCUCCCUUCUGAAGAACCAUGAUGUCAUUCAUUUGGUGUCGUGGGGAAUCAGGACUGUUACUUUGAAAAAAUUAGAGUGUUUAAAGCAGGCUCACGCUUGAAUACAUUAGCAUGGAAUAAUGAAAUAGGACGUUUGAUUCUAUUUUGUUGGUUUCUAGGAUCGACGUAAUGAUUAAUAGGGAUAGUUGGGGGCAUUAGUAUUCAAUUGUCAGAGGUGAAAUUCUUGGAUUUAUUGAAGACUAACUACUGCGAAAGCAUUUGCCAAGGAUGUUUUCAUUAAUCAAGAACGAAAGUUAGAGGUUCGAAGGCGAUCAGAUACCGCCCUAGUUCUAACCAUAAACGAUGUCGACUGGCGAUCCGCUGUCGUUAACUGAAUGACUC
rnacentral:rRNA from 1 species